rnacentral:misc_RNA from 1 species
GAUGAAGAACGCAGCGAAAUGCGAUAAGUAAUGUGAAUUGCAGAAUUCAGUGAAUCAUCGAAUCUUUGAACGCACCUUGCGCUCCUUGGUAUUCCGAGGAGCAUGCCUGUUUGAGUGUCAUUAAAUUCUCAACCUUUUCAGCUUUGUUUACAAAACUGGUCAGGCUUGGAUCUGGGGGUUUGCAGGCUUCAAUUGAGAGGUCAGCUCCCCUUAAAUGCAUUAGCGGAACCUUUGUGGACCGUCUUUUGGUGUGAUAAUUAUCUACGCCAUUUGUCGUGAAGCAGAUUUUAAUGGGGUUCUGCUUCAAAUUGUCCAUUCACUUGGACAAUUUAUUGACUAUUUGACCUCAAAUCAGGUAGGACUACCCGCUGAACUUAAGCAUAUCACUAAGCGGAGGA